rnacentral:rRNA from 1 species
GAUGAACGCUGGCGGCGUGCUUAACACAUGCAAGUCGAACGGAAAGGCUCCUGCUUGCAGGGGUACUCGAGUGGCGAACGGGUGAGUAACACGUGGGUGAUCUGCCCAGCACUUCGGGAUAAGCCUGGGAAACUGGGUCUAAUACCGGAUAGGACGAUGGUUUGGAUGCCAUUGUGGAAAGAUUUUUCGGUGUGGGAUGAGCUCGCGGCCUAUCAGCUUGUUGGUGGGGUAAUGGUCUACCAAGGCGUCGACGGGUAGCCGGCCUGAGAGGGUGGACGGCCACAUUGGGACUGAGAUACGGCCCAGACUCCUACGGGAGGCAACAGUGGGGAGUAUUGCACAAUGGGCGCGAGCCUGAUGCAGCGACGCCGCGUGGGGGAUGACGUCCUUCGGGUUGUAAACUCCUUUCGCUGGGGACGAAGCGCAAGUGACGGUACCUGGAGAAGAAGCACCGGCUAACUACGUG